UCACACGGUGGUGGCGUAGAUCCGCUCGGCGAACUCUCGGUCGCCGGAUGUCGAGCGGCUAGUCAGUGGCGAGACCGACCUCCCUGGAA
rnacentral:ncRNA from 1 species